AGUGAACGCUGGCGGUAGGCCUAACACAUGCAAGUCGAACGGCAGCACAGUAAGAGCUUGCUCUUACGGGUGGCGAGUGGCGGACGGGUGAGGAAUACAUCGGAAUCUACUUUUUCGUGGGGGAUAACGUAGGGAAACUUACGCUAAUACCGCAUACGACCUACGGGUGAAAGCAGGGGAUCUUCGGACCUUGCGCGAUUGAAUGAGCCGAUGUCGGAUUAGCUAGUUGGCGGGGUAAAGGCCCACCAAGGCGACGAUACGUAGCGGGUCUGAGAGGAUGAUCAGCCACACUGAAACUGAGACACGGUCCAGACUCCUACGGGAGGCAGCAGUGGGGAAUAUUGGACAAGGGGCGCAGGCCUGAUCCAGCCAGACCGCGUGGGUGAAGAAGGCCUUCGGGUUGUAAAGCCCUUUUGUUGGGAAAGAAAAGCAGCAGGUUAAUACCCCGCUGUUCUGACGGUACCCAAAGAAUAAGCACCGGCUAACUUCG
rnacentral:rRNA from 1 species